UCGCGGCGGCGUGCGCAGAAGGGUCUGGGCUCGAGCCUGCCUGGAGCCGCCGCCGGUGCAGAUCUUGGUGGUAGUAGCAAAUACUCCAGCGAGGCCCUGGAGGACUGAUGUGGAGAAGGGUUUCGUGUGAACAGCCGUUGCACACGAGUCAGUCGAUCCUAAGCCCUAGGAGAAAUCCGACGCCUACGGCGACGGGAAUUUUGAACGUAUUGAAACCCGUUGAUCGGGCGAAAGGGAAUCCGGUUCCUAUUCCGGAACCCGGCAGCGGAACCGCUGUUUGUCGGGCCCUCACAAGGGGUUCGUCAGGGUAACCUAAAAGGGCCCGGAGACGCCGUCGGGAGCCCCGGAAAGAGUUUUCUUUUCUGCAUGAGCGUUCGAGUUCCCUGGAAUCCUCUCGCAGGGAGAUAGGGUUUGGAACGCGAAGAGCACCGCAGUUGCGGCGGUGCCCGGGAAUUCCCGACGGACCUUGAAAAUCCGGGAGAGGGCCACGUGGAGGUGUCGCGCCGGCUCGUACCCAUAUCCGCAGCAGGUCUCCAAGGUGAAGAGCCUCUAGUCGAUAGAAUAAUGUAGGUAAGGGAAGUCGGCAAAUCGGAUCCGUAACUUCGGG
rnacentral:rRNA from 1 species